ensembl:lncRNA
UUUAUAUUCUAUAUAUUAGGUAGGUCAAUCUUAUUUGGUCUCAAGAGGAAGAACUGUCCCUGUAAUUUCUGUAAGUAGGAUACCGUGAGGAAGACCAAAAAGAGAUGUGGAAGUUCUUUGGCUCAGGAAGCCUGAACUUGAUCCAUCUCUCUGCUUGGGUUCCAGGCUACCACCUGGACAAACCCUUAGCCCUGGAGCCUUCAUAUCACAGGUCAGCCUAGUCUGAUUGUCCCAGUACCUGAAGGGAGCAAUGGCUCGAGGGCCUGGUCAAGUCUACCACUCUGGUCCUUAGAGCUGAGCAUCCUGCUCGCAUCAGGAAACCCAGACAGCAGUCUGCCUCCUCAGAUUCAGUCUCAAAUGCCCUUGUUCACGUGAGUUAUCACAGGUGGCUUUCUCUCUCACUACAGAAAUACAGCAGCUUCAGGACUUUUUUGAGAGUGACUGAUAACUUCCUGGAUUGGGAUCCCUGUACAUGGUUUGGAUAUUGCCCUUCCUGUGACACUUAAAAUCCCAAUGCCUUGCCUUUUCCCUUUGAGUAGAGCUACUGCAGUGCCUCACUGGCUUGCCUCUAUGCAUCAGUGGAUUACACAGUAAUGAAGUAAAGCCCAGCUGAUGGGGUGAGUGGAGCAAUUUGUUGGCUAAGUGUAGGCCAGUGGUGGAGCUGAAGGCACACUCUGUCUGCCCUGUCGCUGCUUCCCCACAGAGAUCAGUUAGAGAUGCCCUGGUCCAAGCUGUAUUUUCCCUUCCCCAGAAACAAUGCCAUUCUUGCUCCCAUUCCUACGUAUCCCACCUCUGGCUCAGGUGAAAUCCAUGCCACUCUGCUUACGGAUAAAAAGUUCAGGUCCUUUUGCCCAUUGGUUUUGAAUCUGCCCUCUUUUUCGAGUAUUGAGAUCCAACUCCAGAGGCGUUUUCUGAGAAAAAUGGUUGGGACUAGUGGUUAUCACUGAAAAGUGAUAGCAGAGCCAUACCACCUCAGUGAGUCAGAUGCUCCUCUGCAGUUUGGCCAUGAUAAUUACCAAGCCCCACUCUCCCUGGUAGGCAAGGGGCAGGACCCUCUUCACUUGGCCUGCUGACUCCAUUACUCCUACAGUUCAAAAGAAAGUCACCCCACCCCUUGAUCUUGUCCAACAGCCAGAGCAUUUGAGUAAGAACUACUUCUUGUAUCUCUAGCAAUAGUUAAGUCCCUGACACUGGGGCCAUAUUCUUCCUGUGAGACGUACACAUCCUGCCUUGCCCAGCUGUUCCUACUUUUGCUUCAGAUCUGGGACAUGUACUAAAUAGAAGACUCUUCUGAUUAUCAGUUACUGCUUGAAGGCUGCUUUCUCCAAGGACUCCAAAGGCUGAAGUGUCUCCCAGGGCACAACCUGAGGACAAAUUUCUCAUCAGCUAACAUGGCCUCUCGGAGCUUUCCUUUGUUUAGUGUCUUCCUCAGACUAUGUUUUCCCAUUUUAUUCCUCUGACCCUCCUUUCAGUUAACAGGUGAAGUUCUUCGAGCCCCCUGAGAUGGUAACAUCAUCUUUUGUGUCCCCCUCUCCUUUGUUCAUCUUGCAAAGCAAAAUAUUGUUUCUUUUUAGCCCAGGCUUGACAGUCACUCUUCGUGGACAGCCCCCCUCUGGACUGCAGACCCUGGCCCAGAUGAAGACCAUGGUAAGGGAAGAAUUUUGAGGUCAGUACAAACCAAAUAAGUCUGUAAAUUAAAGCUGUUAGUUUUCCUCUGAGAGGGCAUUUUGCAUCAGGCCUGGGCUAUGUUCAGAAUCAAACCUGAAAAAAAAAAAAAGAAUCAAACCUGGCUGUGAGUUAGAAGAAGCACCGUUAAAUUUUAGACCUAGAACACCCCAGGAAAAAGGUUUGUGUAGUGUGUCAUAAAGGCCGUGAGUGUGUUUGGGCCACCUUACUACUUCUGGGCCAGCCUGACUGCUGCUGUGCACAUUAGCACAUACCUGAACCCCUCUGCUAAACUUAAGCCCUGCAUCCCUACCUAGGUCAGAUGUUCAGCCUCUGGGUUUGGGAAGAGAAAACUGCCGUGGCGAGAAUCCUCAAGCCCUGGAGUUGGGUAUUGGCUCUUUCAGCCAGUUUUUGUGGGACUUGCCUUUGGUUGGACCACUAAAGAAGCAAAUAAGGUGUGAGGUUCCAGUUACCCAAGACAGCAGAGGUCCCUCAGAAACAUCUUGGGUUCCCAGCUACAGACCCUCGGAAGGUGAAUCAAACCUGUUUCCGCACUGGUUUUUCUCUCCAAAUUUAUUUUGCUUUUAAGAACUAUAAACUCUAGCUAUUGUUUUCCAUGUUCUCAGGGCCCCUGGGUAGACAGACAAAGCUUGAUGAUUUCAGAGCAGAUAUAGGCCAAGAAACCAUGGCAUUGAGUGUGCUGAGUCCAGACAAAUGAUAUUUAUAUACACAUCCAAAUUUGAAGAGAAAAUGUAUUUCUUUAGGUUUCAAACACUGUAAUAGAU